AAAAGAUUAGAGCUUUUUGUGGUUCAAUUGGUGUUUGAUAAGUUUUAUACAGAGUUUGGAAUUGGGAUUUUUUGUUUUCAAUAGUUCAGUUUUUGUACAUUGUAGUUAUGCAGACUUACACUGCAAUGUCUCUUGGGAUUGAGUGUCUUUGUAGGUGAAAUGACGAUAGUUGUGUGACUUUUUGACAUAAAGUUGUUAUAGUUGAGUGACUCGUAGUUGUAUCUAGUUAAGAUCAUGAGUUUCUAAUCGUUUGGCAUUCGUUUUCUAUAGGCACUAGAAAUCAAGAAACAAG
rnacentral:misc_RNA from 1 species